GACGAACGCUGGCGGCGUGCUUAACACAUGCAAGUCGAACGGAAAGGCCCUGCUUUUGUGGGGUGCUCGAGUGGCGAACGGGUGAGUAACACGUGAGUAACCUGCCCUUGACUUUGGGAUAACUUCAGGAAACUGGGGCUAAUACCGGAUAGGAGCUCCUGCUGCAUGGUGGGGGUUGGAAAGUUUCGGCGGUUGGGGAUGGACUCGCGGCUUAUCAGCUUGUUGGUGGGGUAGUGGCUUACCAAGGCUUUGACGGGCAGCCGGCCUGAGAGGGUGGCCGGCCACAUUGGGACUGAGAUACGGCCCAGACUCCUACGGGAGGCAGCAGUGGGGAAUAUUGCACAAUGGGCGGAAGCCUGAUGCAGCAACGCCGCGUGCGGGAUGACGGCCUUCGGGUUGUAAACCGCUUUCGCCUGUGACGAAGCGUGAGUGACGGUAAUGGGUAAAGAAGCACCGGCUAACUACGUG
rnacentral:rRNA from 1 species